AUGGGGACCGGCGCACGGGUGAGUAACGCGUAUCCAACCUGCCCUUUACUAUGGGACAGCCCGUCGAAAGGCGGAUUAAUACCGUAUGUUGUCAUGUUGAUGCAUAUUUUCAUGACCAAAGGCUUCGGCCGGUAAAGGAUGGGGAUGCGUCUGAUUAGCUUGCCGGCGGGGUAACGGCCCACCGGGGCGACGAUCAGUAGGGGUUCUGAGAGGAAGGUCCCCCACAUUGGAACUGAGACACGGUCCAAACUCCUACGGGAGGCAGCAG
rnacentral:rRNA from 1 species